CACAGGCAGAGGCACGUGAGCCCCUGUGCUGCAGCAUGGCCCGGGCAGGGUGGGGGCAGUUUGCAGCCGGCCAAAGAGGAUUCCCAUCACCGCUCCCUUCUGCCCAGUGUCCUUGGAAGGCUGAUAGAGGUGAAGAAACUGCAGAAGAAAAGUCUGCAGCUGGAGAGGUUGGUUCGUGAGGCUUAAGGAAAGAAGCCAUCUUCAUAACAUAAAACUGCAAAGGAAAGAAAGAAGUGCUGAUGUAGAUGCUGCAGCAAGUCAUCCAGAAGUUCUAGCAGAAAUAAUUGAAGAAGGUUAUUACCCUAAAGAAGAGAUCCAACAGACUUGUACUAGAUGAAGAUGUGUCUAGGACUGUUAGCUGGAGAGAAGUCAAUGCGUGGCUUCAAAGCUUCAGAGGACAGACUGACUCAAUUAUUAGGAGCUUAAUGUAGCUAAUGGCUUUAAAUUGAAGGCAGUGAUUACUUAUCAUUCCAAAAAUCCUAAGGCCAUUAAGAAUUAUACUAAAUCUUCUCUGCCGAUGCUGUACAAGUGGAACACAAAACCUGGAUAACUGCAUAGUUUAUUGUUUGUUGCUCACUGCUGAGCCUAUUGCUCAGAGGAAAAGAUAUAUUUAUUUAAAAAUAUUUCUGUCAUUGACAAUGUACAUUUGGUAGAAGAGGUCAUUCUGAACAGUCCAGACUGUUGCCUGAUUCUAGAAUUACAAAUGAAGCCAAUUAAGAUCUGCAAAUCUAGAUUUGUUGUAAUUUUGUCUUUUUUUAAUAUUUAUUUUUUAGUUGGACACAAUAUCAUCUUUAUUUUAUUUAUUUACUUUUGUGUGGUGCUGAGGUUUGAACCCAGGGCCUCACACAUGCUAGGCGAGUGCUCUACCACUGAGCCACAACCUCGGCCCCAAGUUUUGUCUUUUAACACCAUGAAAACAAUAUCUCAUGGGAAAUCAGAAUAUCAAUAGUAAUGGGAGUUUGGAAGAAGUUGGUUCCAACCCUCAGGGUUGACAUGCAGUGGCUUUAGAUGUCAGUGGAGGAAGUAACUGCAGAUAUGGUAAAAACAUUAAGAGAACUAGAAAUAGAUGUAGAAUCUGGAGAUGUCACAGAAUUCCUGCAAUUUCAUGAUAAAUUUUAAUGGAUAAGGAGUUGCUUCUCAUGAAUGGGCAAAGAAAGUGAUUUCUUGAGACGGAACCUACUCCUGGUGAAGAUGCUGUGAAUACUAUCGAAAUGACAAGAAAGGAUGGAGAAUAUUACAAAAACUUAGCUGAUAAAGUAGGGACAGGGUUUAAGAUAAUUGGUUUCAAAUGCAAAAGAAUCUCUACUGUGCAUAAAAUACUAUGAAAUAGUAUUGUAUGCUACAGGAAAUCUUCCAUGACAGGAAGAGUUGACCAAUGCAGCAAACUUCAAAAAAAUAAAAAAUAAAUAAAAUAAAAAUAAAGAAUUGCUACAGUCACCCCAGCUUUAAGGAACCACCACCCUGAUGAGUCAACAACCAUCAACAUCAAAACAACCAGUAGAAAGAUUACCCCUGUCUAAAGGUUCAGGUGAUUGUUAGCAUUAUUUUAGCAAUAAAGUUUUUUGAAUUCAGUA